ACUAUUUGAUUUGGGAAAUGCCCACGCCUGUGAGAGCAUUUUGCAUCUCUAAAGAGUUCAGAUUCAUUUGCUCCUUUCCUUCUCUUUCCAGGCAGCCAAGGCAGAAGCUGUAUAAAUAGCCAAGUCUGUGCUACCUCCAGUUUGAGAUAAUCCAAGCAUCUCAGAAGCAAGACAUACAGCAGGGAGAGCGUCGAGCAGCUUCCAAAAUGAAAGAUGAUGUAUAUUUCAGACUUAAUCUCUUGAGCAAUCUUAGGAAGCUUGGAUGGAUUACAAUAAUACUUCAGCAAGGCUGCUGAUAUCCAUAAAGAGCUGUCACUAACCAAGCGGGAUAAGAGCUGGAGAGAAUGUUAUUCUUUCCACAUCAGAUUAAUUUGAAGAGCUGAUAUCCUGGAAAAGAUAAGACCUGAAAACGCUGAUGGAUUAAACUUUUAAAACGUUUUGUUAGUGGAACAGCAGAGGAAUGAAGAACUUCUCCGGGCUGAUGAGAAAUGGCAUUGCAAAGCUGGAGGAAAUAUUCCUCUCACUGACUGAAGUAGGAUGCACGCUAAGGCUUUGACUACUGGUGAAAGAUUGAAGCCUAGAGAAAACCUGUCCACUUGGCACAAAAAGAUGAGCUGGAUAAUCUUCACACCUUCCAAAGGGAAUUUAGAUUCUAUGCUGAGUUUAAUUGCUGUGGCAUGCUGGCAGAUUUUCUCCUCCUGAUGCACUGCAUGGUUACUCUGAGAAGAACGUUUGAGAAACUGGCAAACAAGAUGGUAAUUACUAAUGGAAAUGAAGAAGAAAAAGGAAAUCAAGAGAAAGAGAGCAAGGAGGAAUCCAUUCUCGCCCUGCUGGGGAUUAUUGGGACAAUUCUAAACCUUAUUGUAAUCAUUUUUGUGUACAUCUAUACAACAUUGUGAGUUGCUGAGGCAACCCGCUGAUGACAUCUGAGAAAAGACCCUGGCAAACUGCUUAAUGAACUGACUCUUUAGUAUAUGAAAUGGUCGCAAAAGGAUUGCUUGCAAAUGGUGGAGGCUGGAGCUUAUUAACUGGGCCAGAUUUUUGCUCCCUAUAGUUACAAGGAAACUUACUUUUUUCUCGUUCUCUGUUUUCAUUGAUUCUAGAGAAAUGGCUGUAAAUAUGUAAAUAUCUGAUUUGGAAAACAGCAUUUCAGUUCAGCCAAAGACUGGACACUAUGAUAAUAGUGACAAAUGUAUAGCAUUUCUAUGCUAAAAUGUGUACCACGGAUAGUUAGAUAGCUUUCUUUCAUAUUUCAUUAGUUCAUUUGGGGUUCAAGUUAGGUUGUGGCAAGUGGGCUUUUUAGCUUCAAGUGAACUUGUAUGGUGUAGUCACAAAUGAGAAACAGGGAGGGAAAGAUGGAUUCUGCUGAGUUACCUGAGCAAACAAAAGAUAAAACUUUGAACAAAGUAAGUAGCAUCACUUCUUUCUCGUUUUCUCUUAUUAUCUUGACAUCGGUAUCCAUUCAUACCAAUGUUUAUAAAUAUAUAUUUUUAAUAAAUGUGCUAUAUUUUUAGCAUGAAGUAAA